AGCGAACAGACGAGGAGCUUGCUCCUCUGACGUUAGCGGCGGACGGGUGAGUAACACGUGGAUAACCUACCUAUAAGACUGGGAUAACUUCGGGAAACCGGAGCUAAUACCGGAUAAUAUAUUGAACCGCAUGGUUCAAUAGUGAAAGACGGUUUUGCUGUCACUUAUAGAUGGAUCCGCGCCGCAUUAGCUAGUUGGUAAGGUAACGGCUUACCAAGGCAACGAUGCGUAGCCGACCUGAGAGGGUGAUCGGCCACACUGGAACUGAGACACGGUCCAGACUCCUACGGGAGGCAGCAGUAGGGAAUCUUCCGCAAUGGGCGAAAGCCUGACGGAGCAACGCCGCGUGAGUGAUGAAGGUCUUCGGAUCGUAAAACUCUGUUAUUAGGGAAGAACAAAUGUGUAAGUAACUAUGCACGUCUUGACGGUACCUAAUCAGAAAGCCACGGCUAACUAC
rnacentral:rRNA from 1 species